rnacentral:rRNA from 1 species
AGCAUAUCAAUAAGCGGAGGAAAAGAAACUAACAAGGAUUCCCUUAGUAACUGCGAGUGAACUGGGAAGAGCUCAAAUUUAAAAUCUGGUGGCCUUUUUUAUUGGGCCGCUCGAGUUGUAAUCUAAAGAAGUGGUGCCCGCACUGAAACUCAUGUACAAGUCUUCUGGAAUGGAGCAUCAUAGAGGGUGAGAAUCCCGUCCUUGACAUGGGCUAGGGGCUUUGUGGUGUCGCUUUCAAAGAGUCGAGUUGUUUGGGAUUGCAGCUCAAAAUGGGUGGUAAAUGCCAUCUAAAGCUAAAUAUUGGCGAGAGACCGAUAGCGAACAAGUACCGUGAGGGAAAGAUGAAAAGAACUUUGGAAAGAGAGUUAAACAGUACGUGAAAUUGCUGAAAGGGAAACGCUUGAAGUCAGUCACAUCGGCUUGGAAUCAACCUCUUGCUUUUGCUGGGUGCACUUCCUUGAUUUUUUCCGAUGGGUCAGCAUCAAUUUUGAUCGCUGGAGAAAGGUCUGAGGGAAUGUGGCAUCACUUUUGUGGAUGUGUUAUAGCCCAUUGACCAUAUGCAGCGGUCGAGAUUGAGGAACUCAGCACACCCGCAAGGGCUUUUUUUAAAAAAAUUGUGCUUAGGAUGGCUGGCAUAAUGGCUUUAAGCGACCCGUCUUGAAACACGGACCAAGGAGUCUAACAUGCCUGCGAGUGUUUGAGUGGUAAAACCCAUGCGCGAAAUGAAAGUGACAGUUGAGAUCCCCUCUUCUGGGGAGCAUCGACACCCGGACCAGACCUUUUGUGACGGAUCCGAGGUAGAGCAUGCAUGUUGGGACCCGAAAGAUGGUGAACUAUGCCUGAAUAGGGUGAAGCCAGAGGAAACUCUGGUGGAGGCUCGUAGCGAUUCUGACGUGCAAAUCGAUCGUCAAAUUUGGGUAUAGGGGCGAAAGACUAAUCGAACCAUCUAGUAGCUGGUUCCUGCCGAAGUUUCCCUCAGGAUAGCAGAAACUCGUUCCGAUCAGAUU